rnacentral:lncRNA from 1 species
AUACAGACAGACACACACACACACACACAGACUGGGGCAUCAAACUAGCUACCAACGCUGCUAUCACCGUGCUUCCGAGUAGACCAGACACACACACACACAACCACACACACACAGAGAGACUGGGGCAGAACUACUACCAACGCGCUAUCCCUGCUCGAGAACCAGUACGACGACACACACAAGACUGGGCAUCAAACUAGCUACCAACGCUGCUUCACCUUGAGUCCAGUAGACCAGGUUACAGACAGACACACAAACACACACACAACUGGGGCAUCAAACUAAGCUACCAACGCUGCUAUCACCGUGCUCCGAGUAGACCAGAUCAUCAUGGCCAAACCGGCAGGCGGACCAAAGCCCCCACAGGCAAGAAAGACUGGGAUGAAGAUGACUGAACAUGACCUCUACCACCUAACCCCUGCCACUAUGCCCCCCCCCCAGCCCUCCCAACCUGGUUUUUCUAUGUUUUAUUUAAAGUCCAAAGCGUUUGGCGUAUUGUGUAGGCACCAUCCUGCAUGGUUACUGUAUGAUGGAAGGAGAGAUGACAUGGAUGGAUUGAUGAUGGCACUGUAUUGCUUUUUAUGUUCUCUCAAAUAAAAGGCACUUCAUUCCCUGUCAUUGUUUUUAUUUUAUUAAACAUUUCCAAAGCAGUUGUUUAAAAAUAUAUAUUUUUGCAAUGUCAAAUCCUCUCUGGCUAACAACUAAGUAUCUUACUGUGAGAGAUGGGGGGUUGCAGUUGUUUAAAAAUAUAUAUUUUUGCAAUGUCAAAUCCUCUGGCUAACAACUAAGUAUCUUACUGUGAGAGAUGGGGGGGGUGUAAGUGCUUCUUAGCUAGGUGCAAUUUCUCAAGCAAAGAUUUUUGCUAGGAAUGUCUGGUCUUCUGAGUGGGGGAGGGGAACAUUGACAACUAGCUCUUAUUGGCAGAGGUUUUGGUAUGUUCUUAUUGGUUAAUAGACCAUUGACAUCACCAAGCAGGCCAAUAUUCCAUUCCACUAAAAACAGGCUGGAGUUUCAGGCCAUCCUUUCUCAAACAGCUUUUACACUGAAAUCAUUUUACAUUUUCAGUGUUCUUCCAACCUCCAUUUUGGAAAUUGUAUAUAAACACAGGAAAAUCUGGUUUUGGACUGAGCCUUUAACCCUUGACACUCAUACAGGUUGAAAAUUGCAGGUUUGGACACAACGUGCCUGUACCAUAACAUGCUAUACCUGACGUCUGAGCUCUCUGGGGCUUUUGAGUGAUAGUCGCUUUGUACUUGCAAUCUACAACUGAUACCCCAUAAUGACAGUGAAAACAGAUUUCUUUGACUAUUUGCACAUUUAUUAAAAUCAGAACCGUGUAUAAGUAUUUGGCUAUUAGACUUAAAUGAUCUCGGGUGCAUUAAUUUUGAGACAUUUCUACAACUUGAUGGGAGUCCACCUGUGGUAAAUUCAAUUGAUUGGACAUGAUUUGGAAAGGCACACCUGUCUAUAUAAGGUCGUUUUGUUGAUAGUGCAUGUCAGAGGAAAAACCAAGCCAUGAGGUCAAAGGAACUGUCCAUAGAGCUCAAAGACAGGAUUGUGUCGAGGCACCAAAACAUUUCUGCUACAUUGAAGGUCCCCAGGAGCGCAGUGUCCUCCAUCAUUCUUAAAUUGAAGUAGUUUGGAACCACA